rnacentral:rRNA from 1 species
UACGUAGGGUGCGAGCGUUAAUCGGAAUUACUGGGCGUAAAGCGUGCGCAGGCGGUUUUGUAAGCCAGAUGUGAAAUCCCCGGGCUUAACCUGGGAAUGGCAUUUGGGACUGCAAGGCUUGAGUGCGGCAGAGGAGACUGGAAUUCCUGGUGUAGCAGUGAAAUGCGUAGAUAUCAGGAGGAACACCGAUGGCGAAGGCAGGUCUCUGGGCUGACACUGACGCUCAUGCACGAAAGCGUGGGGAGCAAACAGG